rfam:Picea glauca, whole genome shotgun sequence.
ACAUGCUUACAACAUAGAGUUGAUGAAUUGUAUUCCAUUAUAACUAUGCAGUUAAUCCCGCUCAGGCUAGAGUAGUAUUGGGAUGGGUGACCGCCCUGGAAGUCCUAAUGUUUUACAUGCU